ACACUCCUGCGGGAGGCAGCAGUGGGGAAUUUUGGACAAUGGGCGAAAGCCUGAUCCAGCAAUGCCGCGUGAGUGAAGAAGGCCUUCGGGUUGUAAAGCUCUUUUGUCAGGGAAGAAACGGUGAAAGCUAAUAUCUUUUGCUAAUGACGGUACCUGAAGAAUAAGCACCGGCUAACUACGUGCCAGCAGCCGCGGUAAUACGUAGGGUGCAAGCGUUAAUCGGAAUUACUGGGCGUAAAGCGUGCGCAGGCGGUUUUGUAAGUCUGAUGUGAAAUCCCCGGGCUCAACCUGGGAAUUGCAUUGGAGACUGCAAGGCUAGAAUCUGACAGAGGGGGGUAGAAGUCCACGUGUAGCAGUGAAAUGCGUAGAUAUGUGGAGGAACACCGAUGGCGAAGGCAGCCCCCUGGGUCAAGAUUGACGCUCAUGCACGAAAGCGUGGGGAGCAAACAGGAUUAGAUACCCCGGUAGUCCCAUGAU
rnacentral:rRNA from 1 species